rnacentral:rRNA from 1 species
AUACGUAGGUGGCAAGCGUUGUCCGGAAUUAUUGGGCGUAAAGCGCAUGUAGGCGGUUUGGUAAGUCGGUCGUGAAAAUGCGGUGCUUAACGCCGUAUGGCGAUUGAAACUGCUGAACUUGAGUGCAGGAGAGGGAAGGGGAAAUCCCAGUGUAGCGGGGAAAUGCGUAGAUAUUGGGAAGAACACCGGUGGCGAAGGCGCCUUUCUGGACUGUGUCUGACGCUCAGAUGCGAAAGCCAGGGUAGCGAACGGGAUUAGAUACCCCGGUAGUCCUGGCCGUAAACGAUGGGUACUAGGUGUGGGAGGUAUCGACUCCUUCCGUGCCGGAGUUAACGCAAUAAGUACCCCGCCUGGGGAGUACGGCCGCAAGGCUUAAACUCAAAGGAAUUGACGGGG